rnacentral:misc_RNA from 1 species
AAUUCUCAACCUAACCAGCUUUUGUGAGCUUUGGGAUAGGCUUGGAUUGUGGGGGUUUUGCUGGCUUCAACCUCCCAGAAGUCAGCUCCCCUUAAAUGCAUUAGUGGAACGAUUUGUUGACGUUGUUUCCUGGUGUGAUAAAACCUUUAUCACCACCGUGUGCAGUCAGCUUACUCUGCUUCUAACAAAGCUAGUCUUUGACUUGACCAU